rnacentral:rRNA from 1 species
GACGAACGCUGGCGGCGUGCCUAAUACAUGCAAGUAGAACGCUGAAGGAGGAGCUUGCUCUUCUGGAUGAGUUGCGAACGGGUGAGUAACGCGUAGGUAACCUGCCUGGUAGCGGGGGAUAACUAUUGGAAACGAUAGCUAAUACCGCAUAACAGUAGAUGUUGCAUGACAUUUACUUAAAAGGUGCAAUUGCAUCACUACCAGAUGGACCUGCGUUGUAUUAGCUAGUUGGUGGGGUAACGGCUCACCAAGGCGACGAUACAUAGCCGACCUGAGAGGGUGAUCGGCCACACUGGGACUGAGACACGGCCCAGACUCCUACGGGAGGCAGCAGUAGGGAAUCUUCGGCAAUGGACGGAAGUCUGACCGAGCAACGCCGCGGGAGUGAAGAAGGGUUUCGGAUCGUAAAGCUCUGUUGUAAGAGAAGAAAGAGUGUGAGAGUGGAAAGUUCACACUGUGACGGUAUCUUAACAGAAAGGGACGGCUAACUACGUG